GACGAACGCUGGCGGCGUGCCUAAUACAUGCAAGUUGAGCGCUGAAGGCUGGUACUUGUACCAACUGGAUGAGCAGCGAACGGGUGAGUAACGCGUGGGGAAUCUGCCUUUGAGCGGGGGACAACAUUUGGAAACGAAUGCUAAUACCGCAUAAAAACUUUAAACACAAGUUUUAAGUUUGAAAGAUGCAAUUGCAUCACUCAAAGAUGAUCCCGCGUUGUAUUAGCUAGUUGGUGAGGUAAAGGCUCACCAAGGCGAUGAUACAUAGCCGACCUGAGAGGGUGAUCGGCCUCGUUGGGACGGAGACACGGCCCAAACCCCUACGGGAGGGAGCAGUAGGGAAUCUUCGGCAAUGGAAGAAAGUCUGACCGAGCGACGCCGCGUAAGUGAAGAAGGUUUUCGGAUCGUAAAACUCUGUUGGUAGAGAAGAACGUUGGUGAGAGUGGAAAGCUCAUCAAGUGACGGUAACUACCCAGAAAGGGACGGCUAACUACGUG
rnacentral:rRNA from 1 species